UACGGGGGUGGCAAGCGUUGUUCGGAAUUACUGGGCGUAAAGGGCGCGUAGGCGGCUGAGUAGGUCGCAUGUGAAAGCCUUAGGCUUAACCUGAGAAGUGCAUGCGAAACCGCUUGGCUUGAGUGUCGGAGGGGAAGGCGGAAUUCCGGGUGUAGCGGUGAAAUGCGUAGAUAUCCGGAGGAACACCGGUGGCGAAGGCGGCCUUCUGGACGACAACUGACGCUGAGGCGCGAAAGCCAGGGGAGCAAACGGG
rnacentral:rRNA from 1 species